rnacentral:rRNA from 1 species
GAGUUUGAUCAUGGUUCAGGACGAACGCUGGCGGCGUGGAUUAGGCAUGCAAGUCGAACGGUAUGAUUCCUUCGGGGAUCAGAGAGUGGCGAACGGGUGAGUAACACGUAGGUAAUCUACCCUCAAGACGGGGACAACCCAGGGAAACUUGGGCUAAUACCGGAUACGUGCGGCACAUUGGUGUUGCAUAAAAGGUGGCUUUUAGCUGCCGUUUGAGGAUGAGCCUGCGCCCUAUUAGUUUGUUGGUGAGGUAACGGCUCACCAAGGCGAUGAUAGGUAGGCGGCCUUAACGGGUGGUCGCCCACACUGGGAUUGAGAUACGGCCCAGACUCCUACGGGAGGCAGCAGUCGAGAAUAGUCUACAAUGGUCGAAAGACUGAUAGUGCGACGCCGCGUGAACGAAGAAUCC